CAAGUCGAACGAGAAAGUGGCUUCGGCCAUGAGUAAAGUGGCAGACGGGUGAGUAAUACAUAGGUAACCUCCCUCUAAGAUGGGGAUAACCUUCCGAAAGGAGGGCUAAUACCGAAUGAGACCACAGGUCCUACGGGACCAGGGGUUAAAGUUGGCCUCUACUUGUAAGCUAACACUUAGAGAUGGGCUUAUGCAUCAUCAGCUUGUUGGUGAGGUAACGGCUCACCAAAGCUUUGACGAUUAGCUGAUCUGAGAGGUUGAUCAGCCACACUGGAACUGAGACACGGUCCAGACUCCUACGGGAGGCAGCAGUAGGGAAUAUUGCGCAAUGGAGGAAACUCUGACGCAGCGACGCCGCGUGGGUGAUGAAGGUCUUCGGAUCGUAAAGCCCUGUCGGUAGGGACGAAAAACGCUAUGGCUAACAUCCAUAGCACUUGACGGUACCUGCAAAGGAAGCACCGGCUAACUACGUGCCAGCAGCCGCGGUAAUACGUAGGGUGCUAGCGUUGUUCGGAAUCAUUGGGCGUAAAGCGCGUGUAGGCUGUCAGUUAAGUCUUGUGUGAAAUCCCUCGGCCUAACCGAGGAAGUGCAUGGGAAACUAACUGGCUGGAAGACGGUAAAGGAAGGUGGAAUUCCAGUGUAGAGGUGAAAUUCGUAGAUAUUUGGAGGAAUACCGGUGGCGAAGGCGGCCUUCUGGACCGGUCUUGACGCUGAGACGCGAAGCGUGGGUAGCAACAGGAUUAGAUACCUGGUAGUC
rnacentral:rRNA from 1 species